rnacentral:lncRNA from 1 species
CUUCCUAUAUGUGCAAGUGUGUCAAAUUUAUCUUCAAAUUGCGUAGAAUCUAAAGCCUAUCCUCUGAUACCAACUGUAACACUCCAGGUUCCACAAACAACCCGGUAUGCUACUGUACUACACUUCCGACGUCCAUAAAUAAAAUUUCGGCAGCAUCCCCUUUGCAAGAUUGCAUAAAAGAGGGAGCAACAGAGUAUAAACAUAUAUCAUGACUAAAACAUACUAAGUAUUAUUACUCGGCUAGCAAGGAAAGAUAAACAUACGACCUGAACUGAAUUAACCAGUGCGCACGACCAUAUAAAAAAAUAAACAAACUUCCUUUGACAAUAAGUUUCUAAUUAAAUCAUGGCUGCGCCUGGGCAGCGUUAUUGUGAGAGUGAAAGUGGACGUGCUGCUACUCCCCUCAUUCCCAACAUGUAUCAAGUACCUGCAUUGAGUAAUGCAAGAGUGAGAUGACACAUCUCAGCAAGUAAAAUAAUAUCAAACAGUUUAACCACAUAAGAACAUUGUUUUACCACCACUUAAUUUCACAACCUUCUUAUUACGAAGGUGCAGCACGUAUACAACGUACAACGCACCUAGUUACCACACCUCGCAGGUAGAAACCACAAUAGUAACAUAGUAAUGUCACACUUCAUAUAUUCAUCAUGAGUGCAAAUGUCUGCAAAUGGAAGGAUGACUUCUGCCUUCAUACCUCUAAGGAUAUGAAGCCGCAUCGUACCCCUCCUCGGGCAACGUACGAUGCUAAAAAUGUACCGGUACGGUCGGACCAUAAGAUCACGACAUAACUUCAAAAUGCAAGAUGAAUGAUGCGAUGUGCAUGUCAUGCCUACAACACUUCAUAUAACAUGAUUCAAAAAGACACUUCAACUUCAUCCAGAUGGGAAUCAACCAGAUAUAUCAUUACCAAAUUAUGAUCAUCCACAAUAUUAGACAAUUGAGAAUUAAUACUUCCAAACAAAUAAACUUCAUCAUAGAAUUCAAUGAUUAACAUAAUUAAAACUUAUGCAUACUCAAUGACAGGGAAUAGGAUGCAAACCAAACGGUAGCAACCACCACUGUAUUUACUUGCCUUUACCGGAAGUUCGGGCAAAUCCCAAGUACGAUCCGGAAGCCCACCACCUGUUUUUGACACCCAACUUAGUACACCAAUUUCACAUAAUCAGGCUCAUAAGCGACGCCGCACCUACGCACAAACUCAAACCCCGCCGCGGGUUACAUCUCUCCCUACACCCACCAAACUGCAGCGGCGCUGCUUAAUAAUUUCAUAACUUUAAAAUUAUGACAGCAGUGGUAACAAACAAAAACUCCAGAGGCAUCAACAUAAAAUUCCCCACAAGUUUUGUAUACAAUUUAUAAUUAAAUUCCAAUAUCUAAUUAGCCCAAAACAGUCCACAAGAUGAACCCUGUAAUCUGUUUUUCUUUGUCUUUUGGACAGCGACAUACCCAGAUUCAAACAGCGAUAUCUUUUAAAAUAUAAUUCCAAAUCAAGCGCAUAAGUACUCAUUGGAAAGAUAAGACAAAUCCCUACAUGAUUACCAUACUGGUUAACACUAAUUACCCACGAAAAAUUCCCAGAAACUGCUAAUACCACUGCUGUUCACCCACCUGAAAAAUCUGUUUUUUGGACAGCAACAUAACCGGAUUCAAACAACGAUAUCUCCUGAAUUAUAACUCCGAAUCGAGCGCAUAAGUACUUGUUGGAAAGAUAACAUAAAGCCCUACAUGAUUCUCAUACUGAUUAACACUAACUACUCCCGAAAAAUCCCCAGAAACUGCUAAUACUGCUGCUGUUCACCCCCCUGAAAAAUCUGUUUUUUUGGACAGCCACAUACCCGGAUUCAAACGGUGAUAACUUUCAAUUUAUAACUCCAAAUUGAGCGCAUAAAUACUCGUUGGAAAGGUAAGGUAAAGUUCUACAUGAUCCUCAUACUGAUUUCCCUUAAUUCCUCACGAAAAAAACACAGAAACUGCUAGACUACUGCUGUUCACCCACCACCUAAAAUUCUGGACAGCCCCCCUCUACCCCAAUCGCAAACGCAACCUCUAAUCAAUUAAAUUGCAGCGCAAAUGAACAAGGGAUGAACACAAAAAUCACCUUGGAUUCUCCCCCUUUCCUUCCUCCCUUCUUCCCUCCACCAAAACGAUUGAAGACUCGCACCACGACGACGAUGAUCCGACCGGCAAGGAUUGGCACCUUGGGAGGAGGGGAUUGAGAGGGGGGGCAGCUAGGGUUUGGUGGCUGCAAGAAUUGAGAGAGGAGGAGAUGGGCAGGGGGCGGCGGCCAAGGGGGAAGAGAAGUGGG